rnacentral:lncRNA from 1 species
UAAAAAAUGGGUUCAAAAGUUGUGAUUUUAAUUUGUAUCUGUACUAUUCCAGUUAAUAUUUUUCAUAAAAAUAUCUAAAAGUGAAAUAAACUAUAUUAAUCUAUCUAUAUUAUAAUAGUUGAGUUUUUGCUCACUCCUCAGCGUGGCCGUUUUGUGGGCCCCAAUUUUAAAAAUUGUGAAAAAACGUCAAGCUCAUGACUCGAACCCUGGUUAUUGAGAUAUAAACACCAACAUUUAUACCUCUAAGCUAAAUGAUACUUUGUACAUUGAUGGCUGAACCUAAUAUAUAUUUAUGAAGGUCGGAAGCCCUUGCUUCUUCGGCUUCCUUUGAGGGUCGGGCCUACAAGUGUAUUAUGAGUUUCAUUUUUAAAUGUGAUUCAUCACGUUAUAUGAAAAAAACUUAAGUUUACAACAAUUAUAGUUUUCCCAUAUUGUAAACU